rnacentral:rRNA from 1 species
AACGAACGCUGGCGGCAUGCCUAACACAUGCAAGUCGAACGAUUGCCUUCGGGUGAUAGUGGCGCACGGGUGCGUAACGCGUGGGAAUCUGCCCUUAGGUUCGGAAUAACAGCUGGAAACGGCUGCUAAUACCGGAUGAUAUCGCGAGAUCAAAGAUUUAUCGCCUGGGGAUGAGCCCGCGUUGGAUUAGGUAGUUGGUGGGGUAAAGGCCUACCAAGCCGACGAUCCAUAGCUGGUCUGAGAGGAUGAUCAGCCACACUGGGACUGAGACACGGCCCAGACUCCUACGGGAGGCAGCAGUGGGGAAUAUUGGACAAUGGGCGCAAGCCUGAUCCAGCAAUGCCGCGUGAGUGAUGAAGGCCCUAGGGUUGUAAAGCUCUUUUACCCGGGAAGAUAAUGACUGUACCGGGAGAAUAAGCCCCGGCUAACUCCGUG